GGUUAAGUUAAUAAGGGCGCACGGUGGAUGCCUUGGCACUAGAAGCCGAAGAAGGACGUGACUAACGACGAAAUGCUUUGGGGAGCUGUAAGUAAGCGCUGAUCCAGAGAUGUCCGAAUGGGGGAACCCGGCAACUAAUGGUUGUCAUCCAUAACUGUUAAGGUUAUGAGAAGGAAGACGCAGUGAACUGAAACAUCUAAGUAGCUGCAGGAAGAGAAAGCAAACGCGAUUGCCUGAGUAGCGGCGAGCGAAACGGCAGGAGGGCAAACCGAGGAGUUUACUCCUCGGGGUUGUAGGACUGCGAUAUAGGAUUAAUGAUUAUAGAAGAAUUACCUGGGAAGGUAAGCCAAAGAGAGUAACAGCCUCGUAUUUAAAAUGAUUGAUUAACCUUAGCAGUAUCCUGAGUACGGCGAGACACGCGAAAUCUCGUCGGAAUCUGGGAGGACCAUCUCCCAACCCUAAAUACUCUCUAGUGACCGAUAGUGAACCAGUACCGUGAGGGAAAGGUGAAAAGCACCCCGGGAGGGGAGUGAAAUAGAACCUGAAACCGUGUGCCUACAACAAGUUCGAGCCCGUUAAUGGGUGAGAGCGUGCCUUUUGUAGAAUGAACCGGCGAGUUACGUUAUGAUGCGAGGUUAAGUUGAAGAGACGGAGCCGUAGGGAAACCGAGUCUUAAUAGGGCGAAAGAGUAUCAUGACGUAGACCCGAAACCAUGUGACCUACCCAUGAGCAGGUUGAAGGUGAGGUAAAACUCACUGGAGGACCGAACCAGGGCACGUUGAAAAGUGCUUGGAUGACUUGUGGGUAGCGGAGAAAUUCCAAACGAACUUGGAGAUAGCUGGUUCUCUCCGAAAUAGCUUUAGGGCUAGCGUCGAUGUUAAGUCUCUUGGAGGUAGAGCACUGUUUGGGUGAGGGGUCCAUCCCGGAUUACCAAUCUCAGAUAAACUCCGAAUGCCAACGAGAUAUGAUCGGCAGUCAGACUGCGAGUGCUAAGAUCCGUAGUCGAAAGGGAAACAGCCCAGACCACCAGCUAAGGUCCCAAAAUAACUGUUAAGUGGAAAAGGAUGUGGGGUUGCACAGACAACUAGGAUGUUAGCUUAGAAGCAGCUAUUCAUUCAAAGAGUGCGUAAUAGCUCACUAGUCGAGUGACCCUGCGCCGAAAAUGUACCGGGGCUAAAACAGUUUACCGAAGCUGUGGAUGACACAUAGGUGUCAUGGUAGGAGAGCGUUCUAUGUGUGAAGAAGGUGUACCGUGAGGAGCGCUGGAACGCAUAGAAGUGAGAAUGCCGGUAUGAGUAGCGAAAGACAGGUGAGAAUCCUGUCCACCGUAAGACUAAGGUUUCCAGGGGAAGGCUCGUCCGCCCUGGGUUAGUCGGGACCUAAGGAGAGACCGAAAGGUGUAUCCGAUGGCCAACAGGUUGAUAUUCCUGUACUAGAGUAUAUAGUGAUGGAGGGACGCAGUAGGCUAACUAAAGCAUGCGAAUGGAAGAGCAUGUCUAAGCAGUGAGGUGUAAGAUGAGUCAAAUGCUUAUCUUUUUAACAUUGAGCUGUGAUGGGGAGCGAAAUUUAAGUAGCGAAGUUAGUGAUGUCACACUGCCAAGAAAAGCUUCUAGCGUUAAUUAUACUCUACCCGUACCGCAAACCGACACAGGUAGUCGAGGCGAGUAGCCUCAGGUGAUCGAGAGAACUCUCGUUAAGGAACUCGGCAAAAUGACCCCGUAACUUCGGGAGAAGGGGUGCUGGCUUAAAGUCAGCCGCAGUGAAUAGGCCCAAGCAACUGUUUAUCAAAAACACAGCUCUCUGCUAAAUCGUAAGAUGAUGUAUAGGGGGUGACGCCUGCCCGGUGCUGGAAGGUUAAGAGGAGUGCUUAGCGUAAGCGAAGGUAUGAAUUGAAGCCCCAGUAAA
rfam:Streptococcus urinalis 2285-97 final_molecule, whole genome shotgun sequence.